ensembl:snoRNA predicted gene, 25409
CUCCACAGCUACUGGUCUGCAGCUGUUCUUAAUAACAGUUGUGGCAUUCCUCUGUGGGAAAGAAACUGUUACACAGUUAAACACCACUUUCUUAACCAAACAGAAAGAGGGCACACAGUGUGACAGACACAA